UGUUUUUGGUAGAGACAGGGUUUCAUUAUGUUGGCAAGGCUGGUCUCAAACUCCUGACUUCGUGAUAUGCCCGCCUCUGCCUCCCACCGUGCCUGGCUCUUUAGCAGAUUUCUAAGUCGACAGGCCAUGCCCAGGAACAGGGUGGGGGAACCAUAGUCUCAGCGGACCACAGAGAGGAGGCCCUGUGGUCGGAAAAGGAGUUGGGGAGGAAGGAGCUGGGCCAGGGAGGUUUGGUCCCUUUACCUCCCUAGACAGGCUCCUGUGGGGGCUCUGAGGCCCUGACAAGUCAGGGCUUGAGAGGGGCAGGCAGUUCAGGUGCAAGUUGGCUGCUGAGCUUAACGGAUCCAGAAAGCAGCUCCUCUGUGACUCAUCAGAGCCUGCUGCUUCCACCACCCGUGUCCUCCCCAACCCCUGGGUGGCAGACCCAGGAACGGGCCAUAGAGGGGAGGGCUGGGCUGAUGAGCCUAUUGGGGGUCCUCUUGGGGAUGACCAAAGCCAGGUGCCACCAUCCCUAUACCCAGGACCCCCUCACUCUAUUCCACCACCCCCCCACAGGGCACCUUCAGUCUGCAGAAGCUGUGGGCCUUCACCGGGCCCGGCUUCCUCAUGAGCAUUGCUUUCCUGGACCCAGGAAACAUCGAGUCGGAUCUUCAGGCUGGCGCCGUGGCUGGAUUCAAACUUCUCUGGGUGCUGCUCUGGGCCACAGUGUUGGGCCUGCUCUGCCAGCGACUGGCUGCCCGUCUGGGCGUGGUGACAGGCAAGGACUUGGGCGAGGUCUGCCAUCUCUACUACCCUAAGGUGCCCCGUACCCUCCUCUGGCUGACCAUCGAGCUAGCCAUUGUGGGCUCCGACAUGCAGGAAGUCAUCGGCACAGCCAUUGCAUUCAAUCUGCUCUCAGCUGGACGAAUCCCGCUCUGGGGUGGCGUCCUCAUCACCAUCGUGGACACCUUCUUCUUCCUUUUCCUCGAUAACUAUGGGUUGCGGAAGCUGGAGGCUUUUUUUGGACUGCUUAUAACCAUUAUGGCCUUGACCUUUGGCUAUGAGUAUGUGGUGGCGCGUCCUGCUCAGGGAGCGCUUCUUCGGGGUCUGUUCCUGCCCUUGUGCCCGGGCUGCGGCCACCCCGAGCUGCUGCAGGCGGUGGGCAUUGUUGGCGCCAUCAUCAUGCCCCACAACAUCUACCUGCACUCGGCCCUGGUCAAGUCUCGAGAGAUAGACCGGGCCCGCCGAGUGGACAUCCGAGAAGCCAACAUGUACUUUCUGAUUGAGGCCACCGCCGCCCUCUCUGUCUCCUUUCUCAUCAACCUCUUUGUCAUGGCUGUCUUUGGGCAGGCCUUCUACCAGCAAACCAACCAGGCUGCGCCAAACAAAAUAUGUCUGGCCAGAUUCAGCCUAGGGCCACCAGUUUUGGAACCCUGGUCAAGGCUAGUUGUCCGGUUUCCCAAGACUGAGGGUGCUACUCACAUCUUCCUCCUACUGCCCGGGUACCCGCAGUUCAACAUCUGUGCCAACAGCAGCCUCCACGACUACGCCAAGAUCUUCCCCAUGAACAACGCCACCGUGGCCGUGGACAUUUACCAGGGGGGCGUGAUCCUGGGCUGCCUGUUUGGCCCCGCGGCCCUCUGCAUCUGGGCCGUAGGUCUUCUGGCGGCCGGGCAGAGCUCCACCAUGACCGGCACCUACGCGGGACAGUUCGUGAUGGAGGGCUUCCUGAAGCUGCGGUGGUCACGCUUCGCCCGUGUCCUCCUCACCCGCUCCUGUGCCAUCCUGCCCACCGUGCUUGUAGCUGUCUUUCGGGACCUGAGGGACUUGUCGGGCCUCAAUGAUCUGCUCAACGUGCUGCAGAGCCUGCUGGAUCCCUCAGCUUCGGCUCCUGCUGCUCUUCCCAGCUCCCUUUCGCCGUGCUGCCCAUCCUCACGUUCACCAGCAUGCCCGCCCUCAUGCAGGAGUUUGCCAAUGGCUGGCUGAGCAAAGCCGUCACCGCCUCCAUCAUGGCGCUAGUCUGUGCCAUCAACCUCUACUUCGUGAUCAGCUACCUGCCCAGCCUGCCACACCCUGCCUACUUCGGCCUUGCGGCCCUGCUAGCCACAGCCUACCUGGGCCUUACCACCUACCUGGUCUGGACCUGUUGCCUUGCCCAUGGAACCACCUUUCUGGCCCACAGCUCCCACCGCCACUUCCUGUAUGGGCUUCUUGAAGAGGACCAGAGAGGGGAGACCUCUGGCUAGGUCCACACCUGGAACCUGGCUGGGAGUGGCAUGGAUGGCAAGACUGGCCUGUUGGAUGUGGAGGGGGCGAAUGCAGGCAGCAGGAUGCAGUGGGACACUUCCUGAGGCCGGUCAACCUGGGGAGCCUCAGGGACCUGCUGUUUCCUAGCAUAGCCAUGUGAUUACCCUCUGGGUCUGUGUCCUCAUCUGUAAAACGGAGACACUGCCACCCUUGCCAUGGAGGUUAAGCACUUUAAACAUAGGCCCUGGCACUUGGAGCCAAAAAACAAAAAAAAUUCAAGAGGUAUUUAUUCAUUGAUCUGAUAGCCAAAGGGCAGGUGGGAUGGGGACUGGGGGACUUGGAGGCUUGGGCGGGACACAGUUUCCAAACCGGAGCUUGAAAUAGAGUCUGAUGAAUGUUAA